GGAAGGGUGGCAGAGCGGUAAUGCGUCGGCUUGCUAAGCCGUAGCCUGCGUGACAAACGCAGCCCGUGUUCGAUCCACGGCCCUUCCG
rnacentral:tRNA from 1 species